rnacentral:rRNA from 1 species
GAUAAACGCUAGCGGCAGGCUUAACACAUGCAAGUCGAGGGGCAGCAUAGAUUGUAGCAAUACAAUUGGUGGCGACCGGCGCACGGGUGCGUAACGCGUAUGCAACCUACCCGUCACAGGGGGAUAAUCCGGAGAAAUCUGGUCUAAUACCCCAUAACAUAUGGAUCGGCAUCGGUUCAUGUUGAAAUUUUCGGAGGUGACGGAUGGGCAUGCGUAGCAUUAGCUUGUUGGUGAGGUAACGGCUCACCAAGGCGACGAUGCUUAGGGGGACUGAGAGGUGUUCCCCCCUCACUGGUACUGAGACACGGACCAGACUCCUACGGGAGGCAGCAGUGAGGAAUAUUGGUCAAUGGGCGCAAGCCUGAACCAGCCAUGCCGCGUGCAGGAUGACGGCUCUAUGAGUUGUAAACUGCUUUUGUACGAGGGUAAAGUGGGUUACGUGUAACCUUUUGAAAGUAUCGUACGAAUAAGGAUCGGCUAACUCCGUGCCAGCCGCCGCGGUAA